CCUUCCAGUGGGUCAAGAUAUGGAGGUGAAAGACAGUGAUAUUGAUGAUCCUGACCCUGCGUAGGCCAAGUUUUCUUGACUUCACUUAAUCUGCUGGAAGCUGAUCCUUUUCAUGUCCAUGUUUAAGGAAGUGUUGAAGGUCACGUCACUCAAAGCCAACAUCAGCAGGCAUCCUACCAAGAUAAUCUCUGAAGAGGUCAGAGGCACAAUUAUUACAAUUUAUUGUGGACAGGAAAACACAUGGAUGUUGAAUACCAGUUCCUGUGAAAGAUACUUGGGUUUCGGGGUAACAACAGUCCCAAGUCUUCAGAACAAAU